GACGUAGGGCGCGAGCGUUGUCCGGAUUUAUUGGGCGUAAAGAGCUCGUAGGCGGCUUGUCGCGUCGACUGUGAAAUCCCGCGGCUCAACUGCGGGUCUGCAGUCGAUACGGGCAGGCUAGAGUGCGGUAGGGGAGAUUGGAAUUCCUGGUGUAGCGGUGGAAUGCGCAGAUAUCAGGAGGAACACCGAUGGCGAAGGCAGAUCUCUGGGCCGUAACUGACGCUGAGGAGCGAAAGCAUGGGGAGCGAACAGG
rnacentral:rRNA from 1 species